AGUUUCUGGAGAAUAAAAGCUGGAAGCGUGCCCCCAAAAAUCCCCAGCCCCGGGUGGUCAGUGGUCUGACUUGCACGGACCGGUGGCCUUGGCCAGGAGCGGUCCUGCGGGAAGCGCCUUUGCCCAGCCUGUAAUUUUAAUUUUCUCUUGGAUGCUUGGCAAAGCCCCCCUGGGUGAGCCCCAGUGCCUGGCAUGAGCGGAGCGGGCUUCCAGGGAGGUAUUCACCUGGUCAGCGUCAGGAACCAUCCUAACUGAGGCCUCGGCUGCCUCUUUCCCUUCGGUCGCCGUGGGUGUGCCGGACGCCUCUGGCAGGACUAACCCCGUGGCUUUUAUGUCCAACGUGCUGUGCUGUGUGUGCCUGCAGUAUCCUGUCCAAGACAAAGCUACCUUUCCUCGUGGGAGUGGACUGGCCGGGCUUUGGCAGUCUGGCCCCUCGAAAGUCUUAAGUGACCUCUUCCAACAGGGGAAGACUGAAGCAAGGGGUGCCAGAAAGAACUGGAGUUUCUGGAGAAUAAAAGCUGGAAGCGUGCCCCCGAAAAUCCCCAGCCCCGGGUGGUCAGUGGUCUGACUUGCACGGACCGGUGGCCUUGGCCAGGAGCGGUCCUGCAGGAAGCGCCUUUGCCCAGGCUGUAAUUUUAAUUUCCCUUGGAUGCUUGGCAAAGCGCCCCCGGGUGAGCCCCGGUGCCUGGCAGGAGCGGAGCGGGCUUCCAGGGAGGUAUUCACCUGGUCAGCGUCAGGAACCAUCCUAACUGAGGCCUCGGCUGCCUCUUUCCCUUCGGUCGCCGUGGGUGUGCCGGACGCCUCUGGCAGGACUAACCCCGUGGCUUUUAUGUCCAACGUGCUGUGCUGUGUGUGCCUGCAGGGGAGGACUGAAGCAAGCGGUGCCAGAAAGAACUGGAGUCUCUGGAGAAUAAAAGCUGGAAGCGUGCCCCCGAAAAUCCCCAGCCCCGGGUGGUCAGUGGUCUGACUUGCACGGACCGGUGGCCUUGGCCAGGAGCGGUCCUGCGGGAAGCGCCUUUGCCCAGGCUGUAAUUUUAAUUUCCCUUGGAUGCUUGGCAAAGCCCCCCUGGGUGAGCCCCAGUGCCUGGCAUGAGCGGAGCGGGCUUCCAGGGAGGCAUUCACCUGGUCAGCGUCAGGAACCAUCCUAACUGAGGCCUCGGCUCCCUCUUUCCCUUCGGUCGCCAUGGACACUGUGCCGGACGCCUCUGGCAGGACUAACCCUGUGGCUUUUAUGUCCAGCGUGAUGUGCUGCGUGUGCCUGCAGUCUCCUGUCCAAGACAAAGCUACCUUUCCUCGUGGGAGUGGACUGGCCGGGCUUUGGCAAUCUGGCCCCUCGAAAGUCUUAAGUGACCUCUUCCAACAGGGGAGGACUGAAGCAAGCGGUGCCAGAAAGAACUGGAGUCUCUGGAGAAUAAAAGCUGGAAGCGUGCCCCCGAAAAUCCCCAGCCCCGGGUGGUCAGUGGUCUGACUUGCACGGACCGGUGGCCUUGGCCAGGAGCGGUCCUGCGGGAAGCGCCUUUGCCCAGGCUGUAAUUUUAAUUUCCCUUGGAUGCUUGGCAAAGCCCCCCUGGGUGAGCCCCAGUGCCUGGCAUGAGCGGAGCGGGCUUCCAGGGAGGCAUUCACCUGGUCAGCGUCAGGAACCAUCCUAACUGAGGCCUCGGCUGCCUCUUUUCCUUCGGUGGCCGUGGGUGUGCCGGACGCCUCUCUGGCAGGACUAACCCUGUGGCUUUUAUGUCCAACGUGCUGUGUGUGCCUGCAGGUGCUGGGAGAAGGAGGACUCGUGCGGGCACCUCCAGAGACAGCGGGAACGGGAGCGUGCUGCGGAGAAGGAAAAUUCCAGGGGAAUUGCCACGAGAGGAAAUACUUCAGAGGGGCUUCCCUCCGGAUAAGCCCUGAAUAUGCCAGGAGGUUUCAGCCGGGAGGAAAGGAGCUGUGGAAGAAAAGCAGCCUAAAAAUAGCCAGCGGGGAUCAUCAGGUUUUCCAGGCAAGAAGAACAAGGAGAGAGAUGAGGGAAUGGGGUUCCAAUUCCUAAUGAUUUGGUGGGUGCAGGAAUGAUUUGUGUGUGUUUUCCAGUCCCUUUUGAUUCCUGAGAUGAUUUUAAAAUGAUGGCUUUAGCAAUCAACUAAAUCGGUGAUGUUGUUUUUGAGAGGAAAUGGUGCCAAAUAAAUGCAGAGUUUUGGGUCA